rnacentral:rRNA from 1 species
GGUGAGUAAUGCCUAGGAAAUUGCCCUGAUGUGGGGGAUAACCAUUGGAAACGAUGGCUAAUACCGCAUAAUGCCUACGGGCCAAAGAGGGGGACCUUCGGGCCUCUCGCGUCAGGAUAUGCCUAGGUGGGAUUAGCUAGUUGGUGAGGUAAGGGCUCACCAAGGCGACGAUCCCUAGCUGGUCUGAGAGGAUGAUCAGCCACACUGGAACUGAGACACGGUCCAGACUCCUACGGGAGGCAGCAGUGGGGAAUAUUGCACAAUGGGCGCAAGCCUGAUGCAGCCAUGCCGCGUGUGUGAAGAAGGCCUUCGGGUUGUAAAGCACUUUCAGUCGUGAGGAAGGUAGUGUAGUUAAUAGCUGCAUUAUUUGACGUUAGCGACAGAAGAAGCACCGGCUAACUCCGUGCCAGCAGCCGCGGUAAUACGGAGGGUGCGAGCGUUAAUCGGAAUUACUGGGCGUAAAGCGCAUGCAGGUGGUUUGUUAAGUCAGAUGUGAAAGCCCGGGGCUCAACCUCGGAAUUGCAUUUGAAACUGGCAGACUAGAGUACUG